GCCAGUUGCGUAAAAAUUCGAUCGCAUCGGAUUGGACUGGGAUUGGAAACGUGACCCAGAGAAGGUGACUGGCCCAGCCAUAAAAGGAAGCUGGCCUGUCACUGUCACUUUUUAAGUGGUUUUUGUUUUCGGAUCUUAUCGCUGGCAUGUUGCAGUUGCAAUUGGUGUUGCAUUAGUUGAUUUCUCGUUGAGCUGCCGGCGGGUCGAAAAACCGGGUGAUUAUCGUACAAGCUGCCUCUCCUGCCUAUCUAAUCGCCCACAUCCUAUGCCUCGAAACUGUGUUUUUUCGCGGUUUUAUACCCUAGACUAAGGGUACUAAGAUUCUGAGUAGAACUUGAUGGAAUUCGUCCCCAAUAAACUUUAUUGCUUCAGUCUUUGGGAGCUUAGUCUUUUGAAGAAUUGCAUCCAAUGAUCUUUAACGAUUCUAAGUUAUCAAGACUAACUAUGCAAACUAUAGCUUUAAUGGGAAUCCAAUAUUUCGACGUCCGAUUUUCUUCAGGUUUCGAGUGUUUCGGCGGGUGAGUCAUCGCGAUCGUAUUCAUAUAUUCGUCUUCGUACUCGUAUGGCUGCUUUCCAGUUGUGCCGCCGCCGCUGCUGCCCUCGUAUUUGUUUUAUCAAUGAUUCAUAUUCAACAUACCUAUAGGUAUGUCGCCGCUGAAGAUGUGUAACACUAACACAGAUACUUUUUCGUCGCUUUCACAUACCGCUGCCACUGCUGGCUUGGGGGUCACAGAUGUGCUGGCCCACAAUCGCAUGCAAAUGUUGCGAUUUGUUGGCACUUCGAACUUGUGCGCCCCAUUUCCCCAAAGACAACACCCACCCAACCCACACAGCCCCACUCACACACACACUCGCACUCGCACUCACCAGCCAACUGAUCCUCGGUGUAAGCUGCCUGAAAAACAACAAAACAAAGGAAAACAUGAGUCGUCGUCGUCAUCGUUGCUGCCGAAGCGGGAAAUAGGAGGUCCCGUAAACAUUCAAUUGUUGUCAAAUAUACAAAGUGUCAUGUUGCCUACUUCACGCACUUACCAUAUCGAUUUGUUUUUUUAGCUAGCUGAGGGAGAAGAGAAAAACACAAAACA